GACAGAGGGUGCAAACGUUGCUCGGAAUCACUGGGCGUAAAGGGCGUGUAGGCGGGCAGGUAAGUCGGGCGUGAAAUCCCUGAGCUCAACUCAGGAACUACACUCGAAACUACUUGUCUUGAGUACCGGAGAGGAAAGCGGAAUACCUGGUGUAGAGGUGAAAUUCGUAGAUAUCAGGUGGAACACCAGUGGCGAAGGCGGCUUUCUGGACGGUAACUGACGCUGAGACGCGAAAGCGUGGGGAGCAAACAGG
rnacentral:rRNA from 1 species